GAUGAACGCUGGCGGCGUGCCUAAUACAUGCAAGUCGAACGAAGUCUUCGGACUUAGUGGCGAACGGGUGAGUAACACGUUGGUACCUACCCCGAAGUGGGGAAUAACUGCCCGAAAGGGUGGCUAAUACCGCAUAAUACCGCAAGGUUAAAGCAGUAAUGCGCUUCGGGAGGGGCCUGCGUCCCAUUAGCUAGUUGGUAGGGUAAUGGCCUACCAAGGCGACGAUGGGUAGCUGGAUCGAGAGGUUGACCAGCCACACUGGGACUGAGAUACGGCCCGGACUCCUACGGGAGGCAGCAGUAAGGAAUCUUCCACAAUGGACGAAAGUCUGAUGGAGCAACGCCGCGUGCAGGAUGACGGCCUUCGGGUUGUAAACUGCUUUUAUACGGGAAGGUUAUGACGGUACCGUAUGAAUAAGGACCGGCUAACUACGUGCCAGCCGCCGCCGUAA
rnacentral:rRNA from 1 species